rnacentral:rRNA from 1 species
AGAGUUUGAUCCUGGCUCAGAACGAACGCUGGCGGCAUGCCUAACACAUGCAAGUCGAACGCUUUGAGGGAUUUCGGUCCCUUGAGGAGUGGCGCACGGGUGAGUAGCGCGUGGGAACCUGCCUUUCAGUGGGGGAUAACCGCGGGAAACUGCGGCUAAUACCGCAUACGCCGGGAAACCGGGAAAGAUUUAUCGCUGAG